rnacentral:rRNA from 1 species
UGGGGAACCUGCUCCAUAGUCUGGGAUACCACUUGGAAACAGGUGCUAAUACCGGAUAAGAAAGCGGAUCGCAUGAUCAGCUUUUAAAAGGCGGCGUAAGCUGUCGCUAUGGGAUGGCCCCGCGGUGCAUUACCUAGUUGGUAAGGUAAAGGCUUACCAAGGCGAUGAUGCAUAGCCGAGUUGAGAGACUGAUCGGCCACAUUGGGACUGAGACACGGCCCAAACUCCUACGGGAGGCAGCAGCC